UACGGAGGGUGCAAGCGUUGCUCGGAUUUACUGGGCGUAAAGCGACCGCAGGCGGUCGAUUAAGUUUGACGUGAAAGCCCCGGGCUCAACUCGGGAAGUGCGUCAAAAACUGGUCGACUUGAGUACGGGAGAGGAGAGUGGAAUUCCUGGUGUAGAGGUGAAAUUCGUAGAUAUCAGGAGGAACACCGGCGGCGAAGGCGGCUCUCUGGCCCGAUACUGACGCUCAUGGUCGAAAGCGUGGGGAGCAAACAGG
rnacentral:rRNA from 1 species